CGUGUAGUGGUGUCGUCGUCGUCGUUGUGCGCUCGUCCAGCGUUCAAGGAACCAAUUACCAAGGAACACACAGGAGAAACUGCUCACAUUACAUACAUAUAGACACACACGUACACACAAACAGCAUAGUGAAGGCAACAUACAAGCACACGCUCCAUGGUUAUAAUUUAUUAAAAUCAACAAUAUCGUUAAAGCUACAAAAUACUUCAUAUAUACAUGUACAUAUAUGCAUGUGAAAUUUCUUUUGUUAAAUACUAAAACAAAUGCAACUUAUUUACUAUUUGAAAUGAAAAAGUGUUCCGAUUUUAAAAAUGAGGCUGCCACUCGUUCGACGAACAAAAAAAUAAAUCGCAAGAUGCAAAAGAUAAGCAAAUAAAGAGAAGUGAACAUAGUGUUUGUGAUGAGUGAAAUAAAGGAUCCUUAUAUACUCGUACACGUAUACAAUAUUUAAUAAACAAACUAUUUAACACGAUAAUCCAGAAUAAAUAAAUAUGUGUGUGUUAGUGUAAGAUCAUGUUCUCAAGAAUAGCUACCAGUUUUAUAAAAUUCCUACUCUAAAUCUCUCUCAAAGAGAGGAAAACUCGGAAAAAAAAUACUGUGCGCGCCUAAAAACUGAUGCGGCAAAAGGAUUUGAAAAAUAUCAACAAAAGCGUGCUUGCGAAAAUAAGUUUACUUGUAAAUAUGUAUGUAAUACUAAUACAUUUUGUGAAUGCAUUGUGAAAAAUAUGCAUAGAUCUGUUAACAAAAAUAGAAAAUGGAUAACAAUACAUUCACCUAAGCAUACACAGCAUUCGAGUAUUUUGUAAAUAAUUGCAUUAAAUAAACAAAAAUAUUAAUAAAAAUAUUUACUAAUCAAAAAAUACUGUUACUAUUAAUUAUAUACCAUACAUAUGUUAGUGUACAUGUAUGGAACGACUAGGUUUAUGCUAUAAAGUCUCAACUAACAACGAAUGUUUAAACAACGCCGUCUUUAUGGAUAUAUGCAAUACAUCUUAAAGUGCA